AUUGAACGCUGGCGGCAGGCCUAACACAUGCAAGUCGAGCGGAUGAAGGUAGCUUGCUCCUGGAUUCAGCGGCGGACGGGUGAGUAAUGCCUAGGAAUCUGCCUGGUAGUGGGGGAUAACGUCCGGAAACGGGCGCUAAUACCGCAUACGUCCUGAGUGAGAACGUGGGGGAUCUUCGGACCUCACGCUAUCAGAUGAGCCUAUGUCGGAUUAGCUAGUUGGUGGGGUAAAGGCCUACCAAGGCGACGAUCCGUAACUGGUCUGAGAGGAUGAUCAGUCACACUGGAACUGAGACACGGUCCAGACUCCUACGGGAGGCAGCAGUGGGGAAUAUUGGACAAUGGGCGAAAGCCUGAUCCAGCCAUGCCGCGUGUGUGAAGAAGGUCUUCGGAUUGUAAAGCACUUUAAGUUGGGAGGAAGGGCAGUAAGUUAAUACCUUGCUGUUUUGACGUUACCAACAGAAUAAGCACCGGCUAACUUCGUG
rnacentral:rRNA from 1 species